AGUCUGCAACCCGACUACAUGAAGCUGGAAUCGCUAGUAAUCGCGGAUCAGAAUGCCGCGGUGAAUACGUUCCCGGGUCUUGUACACACCGCCCGUCACACCAUGGGAGUCGGAAAUGCCCGAAGUCUGUGACCCAACCUACGGGAGGGAGCAGCCGAAGGCAGGUCGGAUGACUGGGGUGAAGUCGUAACAAGGUAAC
rnacentral:rRNA from 1 species